UACGUAGGGUGCAAGCGUUAAUCGGAAUUACUGGGCGUAAAGCGUGCGCAGGCGGUUUGUAAGUCUGUCGUGAAAGCCCCGGGCUCAACCUGGGAAUUGCGAUGGAGACUGCAAGGCUUGAAUCUGGCAGAGGGGGGGGUAGAAUUCCACGUGUAGCAGUGAAAUGCGUAGAGAUGUGGAGGAACACCGAUGGCGAAGGCAGCCCCUGGGUCAAGCAUUG
rnacentral:rRNA from 1 species